GGCCGGGGCGGGGCCUGCGUGGGCGGGAGGCUGCUGCUCGAGCGGGGCCGGGGGCACACGCCGCGGACACCGGGCCCCCGGACCUGGCAGCCUGUCUGUGGCCUGGGGGGGCUCGGCCAGCAGCCGCCCUAGUUUCCGGCCACGCAGCAGCGCCUGUGCUGACCGUGAGGUCGCUCCAGGAUGGGCCCACGCCUGGCCUGGGAGCCUGUCCAGACCUUCCAGCGAUCUCCCCUGGCCCCUUCCCUCAACAUAUAAACACACUUGGGCCUCUGUUGUCUGGAGAAGAAGCGCUGGACCCCAGCCCCAGGUGACAUCCAGAACGGCAAGCUGGCCACCUGCCUUCUGCAUUUCCUCAUGCCCUCUGCCCUCUGCUCUGGGGGCUCCGCACCUGUGCUGGGAGGUCACGCUAACCCAGUUUCUCUGGCGUUGGGAAGGGCUGCCUGCCGCCUCACCAAGUCCACUGGUGAACCCGCUGAUGCCCAGGCCACCCGCCUGUGUCUUGAUCGCUGACUUCAGCUCGCGGUUCUCGCAGAUGAGCCGCACCAGCUUCUUCAGCUCCUCAUUCUCCCGUACCAGCCUCUCGAUCUGAUACCGAAGCCCCUCAUAAUUGCCGCUUGAAUAGACAUGCCAACCCACUGGAUUCUGGUCACAACUAUGGAAAGGAGCAGAGGUCCGGUACACCUCAAUAGAGAAGCAACUGGCUGCUGUGCACCACGCCUUGCUGCUGCGGAGCCCAUUGCCGGAACAGCUCCAACCAAGGUAAUAACCACUUAUCUCAUCGUGGGGUGGGUGCAAGACUGGACCCAAAGGCCAUGGAGUGGUGUGGCACAGACAUGUACACUGGCCAAAUGGGGCGCAUAUUUACAGCAGUGCAGUGCCCUCUCUACUAGCUCCUUGAGUGGAAAACUCCAACUCUUAUUGAGGCCAGUGACGUAUACCAGUGGAAAGCAGGAAGAACUUGCUUUUGAGCCCUUGGUAGCCGAGACUCCUUAUCAGGAGGGAAAAGCCCCUAUACCUGAAGAUGCUUGGUACACAGAUGGCUCCAGUCAUGGGCAGCCCCUGAAGUGGAUGACUGUGGCUUUCCAUCCCAAGACUGAGACAACAUGGAUGGAGGAUGGAGAGGGGAAGAGCAGCCAGUGGGCUGAGUUGCGGGCAGUAUGGCUCAUGAUCACCCAGGAGCCCUCCCCCAUAGUUGUCUGCACUGACAGCUGGGCCGUCUAUCGGGGCUUUACCCUAUGGCUAUCGACAUGGUACCAUGCCAACUGGAUGGUUGGUCACCAGCCCCUUUGGGGGUGAGAGUUGUGGCAAGUCCUAUGGGCCUCUGGCCAGACUAAGACUGUUACCGUAUAUCAUGUGACAAGCCAUUUGCCUUCAGCAUCCCCAGGGAAUGAUGGAGCAGACACACUGGCCCCAGUGUGCUGGCUAGAAGGAAAGCCUGCCUCUGAUGUGGCCCAAUGGCUAUACCAAUGUUUGUUGCACACGGGGCAAAAGACAAUGUGGGCUGUAGCCCAUAGGUGGGGCUUGCCACUGAGCUUUGAAGAAGUCAGCAGAGCCCGGAAGGAGUGCCUUGUGUGCUCUGAGAGGGACUUACACCAAGUCCCACAGCAACAUGGGACAAUAGUAAGGGGGCCAAUACCCCUCGUCAGGUGGCAGAUACACUGCAUUGGGCCUCUGCCCACAUCAGAAGGAUAUCGGUAUGCCGUGACUUGUGUGGACACAGUUACUGGCCUGUUUGUUGCUUUUCCUGCACAUAUUGCAGAUCAGCAAGCCACCCAGAGGGGCCUGGAGCAUCUCUUUGCAGCCUAUGGCCGGCCGCAGGUGAUUGAGAUCAGUCAAGGCUCCCACUUUACUGGACAUGUGUUGCAAGGAUGGGCGCAAUUAGGAAUAAAGUGGAAGCUUCAUGUGCCAUAUAAUCCUACUGGGGCAGGCGUGAUAGAGAGGCACAGCGGUUUGUUGAAAUCUGGCCCGAAGUCAGACACCAAUAGUCUACGGGGCUGGUCAGUUCGUUUAUGGAUGGUGCUGCAGCAUUUGAAUGAGAAUCCCUGAAAAGGAGCCUUGAGCCCUGUGGAUACACUCACACACCUUGCUGCCUCCCCUAUAUAACUGUGUGUGCAAACCAAAGAGGAGGGUAUGGCCAGGAGAGCUGCCUUCUGCUGCCAGCCCCAACUGCACCAAUUCCUGGAGACACUGUUGAAUGGACCUGGCCUUGGACAUUUCGACACAUGGACCAGUGAUGGCUGGCCCGUCUGGCACCUUGGGGAAAAGUCCUGGAAGAUGGCCUCCUGUGUGUUCCUGGAGUAACAGCAGAGUGGCCCCCAAAGAUCACUGUAGUGUACCCAGAACGUCUGGGAGGUAAGAGCAUCUUGCAGAGAAGUUUUGUUUUAUCUUUAUGGCCAGUGCAUGCACCUCCCAUAGCCCUAUAUACUGACCCACCUGUAACUCCCACAGGGAAUGGGGUGAAAGUCUGGUACACUAGACCAGGACGAGAUCCCAUUCCUGCCAUUGUCCUGUCACAGGACCCCUCUCUUGCACGUAUCCUACCUGAUGGACAAGAUUUGUCUAUGCUGGUGUCAUUAAAACAUGUGUCUUCUUGCCCUGAAGGUUAUUUUCUUCUACAGUCCUGUGGCCUGGAUGCGCCCCUGGUGGCAGCUGCUGUGUGGUGAUUGCUCUGAACUGCCUACCUGUUUAGCUAGUGACUGCCUGUGGGAUGGGCGAGAUAUGGACUCCACCUGCAUAGGGCUUUGACUCUAGGCAAAGCCUCCAGCUUGAGGAUUAUCGUAAUUUUACUGCUGUUGCUAUUGUAUGUUAUUAGCCUGAUCACAAUGCUUCUGUUUUCUCACCCAAGGGCCAUUGCGGAAGAGGGGGAAUGUGGAGAUUGUGAGGCAAGAUUUCUGGAGGGGUGGGCUGUGGGUAAAAUUGCACUAUUUCCAGAAUGUCUCGUCUGGCUUUCGUGCAUCUGCAUAUCAAUUGGUGUUUCUCAGGGGUGGAUAGAAUUAGUUCAUCUACAUAUCAAUAGGUGAUUACAAGGGCGUGGGAGGGUUUAUCUGGACUGCAGAGGUUGGGUGGAGCUCUUUUCUGCUGCAGCCAGGUCAAGAGAGAGACGGGACCACUGCUUGUAAGAAAUAAACGGGUUUCUUUUUUUUUUACUUUUAAAAAAAUUUUGGUGUCAUUAAUAUACAGUUACAUGAGCAACAUUGUGGUUACUAGAUUCCCCCCAUUAUCAAGUCCUCACCACAUACAUAAACAGGUUUCUUAAACUUUAUUUCUCCCUUUGACUGAUUUUGGUUUCAGAGGUAUUUUGCCCUGGGAUUUUCCCUUGGAGUUACAGUAUAUUUAAAAGCUUAAAAGUAUUUUAUCUAGCAGUUUUAUGCAUUCAGAGUGGGGGUUUGGAUCCCUGGUCAGACCACAAGUCUGGAAAGCAUUUAAAUGGGGAGUGACACCCCUCUUUGCUGGCAGUACUGGUGGUGGCUGGAGACUAAGGCUGUGGCCUUGAGCUGGCAGGAGGGCUCAGAGGGAGGGGCAGCCUGGAGAUAGAAGCUGAGAUGCCCCAGGGUCAUGACAGCAGUGGGCAGGAUUCUGCAGUAGAGAGGAGGAUCUUGAGCCCAGUGCUCGAGUCCUCCCAGAACCAGAAGACUGCCGGGUACCAGCAAAAGCUGCCUGGUGGGACGGAGGACUGUGGAAUGGAGCUGCUGCAAGAGAGUCUAAAGGUUGGGGAGUUGCCAUGGCAACAGGGAGCGGUGGAUGAUGCCGAGAAACUACUUCCAGGCUUCUCAGAGAAGAUCCCAGCAGUUCAGCACUGCCCAAAAAGUAGAGUUCAGACUCAAGCUUUCCGUCCAUGGCUGCCCACACCUGACUUUUUGAUCACACAGCUCUCUCAGGCAUCCUCUUUUUUCCACCUGGUUCUCCCAAAUGUGACUCCACGCAUUCCCCUGAGCUUUUGCUCCUGAAACGCCUCCCACCCCUGUGGAGGCUGAGCUGAGGUCCAGGAGUCUGCAGCUCACUUCCCCAGCCAGCUAAAGCCUGCGUGCCUCCUUGCCUGUAAAGCUCACGCAUUCUAUGGCCAACACCAA